rnacentral:rRNA from 1 species
UACAGAGAUGGCGACCGUUGUUCGGAAUCACUGGGCUUAAAGGGCACGUAGGCGGUAAGAAAAGUUGGGUGUGAAAUACUCUGGCUUACCCAGAGAAAAGCAAACAAAACUAUCUUACUUGAGGACGGUAGGGGAGAGUGGAACUCUUGGUGGAGCGGUGAAAUGCGUUGAUAUCAGGAGGAACGCCGGAGGUGAAAACGACUCUCUAGACCGGAACUGACGCUGAGGUGCGAAAGCCAGGGGAGCAAACGGGAUUAGAUACCCCGGUAGUCCUGGCCGUAAACGAUGAACACUAGGUAGGGGGGUACACCCUCUCUGCUGGAGCAAAAGUAUUAAGUGUUCCGCCUGGGGAGUAUAGUCGCAAGGCUGAA